GUUGCAGUUAAAAGCUCGUAGUUGAACCUUGGGCCUGGCUGACCGGUCCGCCUCACCGCGUGCACUGGUUCGGCCGGGCCUUUCCUUCUGCGGAACGGCAUGCCCUUCACUGGGUGUGUUCGGGAAGCAGGACUUUUACUUUGAAAAAAUUAGAGUGUUCAAAGCAGGCCUUUGCUCGAAUACAUUAGCAUGGAAUAAUAGAAUAGGACGGCGCUCCUAUUUUGUUGGUUUCUAGGAGAGCCGUAAUGAUUAAUAGGGACAGUUGGGGGCAUCCGUAUUCAGUUGUCAGAGGUGAAAUUCUUGGAUUUACUGAAGACGAACUACUGCGAAAGCAUUUGCCAAAGAUGUUUUCAUUAAUCAGUGAACGAAAGUUAGGGGAUCGAAGACGAUCAGAUACCGUCGUAGUCUUAACCAUAAACUAUGCCGACUAGGGAUCGGGCGAUGUUAUUGUAUUGACUCGCUCGGCACCUUUCGAGAAAUCAAAGUGUUUGGGUUCUGGGGGGAGUAUGGUCGCAAGGCUGAAACUUAAAGAAAUUGACGGAAGGGCACCACCAGGAGUGGAGCCUGCGGCUUAAUUUGACUCAACACGGGGAAACUCACCAGGUCCAGAUACACGUAGGAUUGACAGAUUGAGAGCUCUUUCUUGAUUGUGUAGUUGGUGGUGCAUGGCCGUUCUUAGUUGGUGGAGUGAUUUGUCUGCUUAAUUGCGAUAACGAACGAGACCUUCAUCGUUAACUAGCCCGGCUCGCCUUGGCGGGUCGCCGGCUUCUUAGCGAGACUUUUGGCUUAAGCCAAAGGAAGUUGGAGCAUAACAGGUCUGUGAUGCCCUUAGAUGUCUGGGCUGCACGCGCGCUACACUGAC
rnacentral:rRNA from 1 species